GCGUUCAUGAGCUUUCAUUCUGUGGAUGUAGUACGAUUCAUUGUGCGACUUUGUUUUGCAGAAAUAUCCGCCUCAACAUAAAGUGCUGGUCACGGGGUUUCCUCAAGAUUGAGUUGGAUCCUGGAACAUUUAUCUUGAAAUUUUACUUGAACUGCGUCAUCAGAUGACAGCCAUGUCCGGUUCUACCGCGGCACUGCAGACGUCAAGUGCUCAGGUGUCGGAAGCUUCCGCCUUGGCAACGGCAAGUGAUGAAGCGUCAGCUACCGGCUUGGAAGUUGCCGCCGCUGGUGCUGAACGUCCUGAGGAAGUAAAUGUCCUCGAUGAAU